rnacentral:sRNA from 1 species
GCCAGGUGUGGUAGCGCACGCCUGUAAUCCCAGUGGCUCCGGAAGUUGAGGCAGGAGAUCGCAAGUUCAAAGCCAGCCUCAGAAACUUAGUAAGGGGCUAAGCAACUCAGUGAGACCCUGUCUCUA